rnacentral:rRNA from 1 species
UACGUAGGUGACCAGCGUUGUCCGGAUUUACUGGGCGUAAAGAGCGCGCAGGCGGUCGUUCAAGUCGAGUGUGAAAGCCCCCGGCUCAACUGGGGAGGGUCAUUCGAUACUGAUCGACUCGAAGGCAGGAGAGGGAAGUGGAAUUCCCGGUGUAGUGGUGAAAUGCGUAGAUAUCGGGAGGAACACCAGUGGUGAAGGCGACUUCCUGGCCUGUUCUUGGCGCUGAGGCGCGAAAGCUAGGGGAGCAAACGGG